CGCGUAGGCGGCCGAGCAAGUCAGUAGUGGAAGUCCAUUUUCAAGGGUGGAAGUGCUAUUGAAACUGCAUGGCUUGAGUGCAGGAGAGGUUAUCGGAAUUCCCGGUGUAGCGGUGAAAUGCGUAGAGAUCGGGAGGAACACCAGUGGCGAAGGCGGGUAACUGGACUGCAACUGACGCUGAGGCGCGAAAGUGUGGGAGCAAACA
rnacentral:rRNA from 1 species